rnacentral:rRNA from 1 species
AGGACGAACGCGGGCGGCGUGCUUAACACAUGCAAGUCGAGCGGUAAGGCUCCUUCGGGGGUACACGAGCGGCGAACGGGUGAGUAACACGUGAGUAAUCUGCCCUUCACUUUGGGAUAACCACCGGAAACGGUGGCUAUUACCGGAUAUGACCAGUCCACGCAUGUGGGUUGGUGGAAAGUUCUGGCGGUGGAGGAUGUGCUCGCGGCCUAUCAGCUUGUUGGUGAGGUAAUGGCUCACCAAGGCUUCGACGGGUAGCCGGCCUGAGAGGGUGACCGGCCACACUGGGACUGAGACACGGCCCAGACUCCUACGGGAGGCAGCAGUGGGGAAUAUUGGACAAUGGGCGAAAGCCUGAUCCAGCAACGCCGCGUGAGGAUGACGGCCUUCGGGUUGUAAACCUCUUUCAGUACCGACGAAGCGAGAGUGACGGUAGUACAGAAGAAGCGACCGGCAACGUACGUGCCAGCAGUCGC